CCUGCUGGCGCCACCGAAAAAUCCCGCCUCCUACCUCACCGAUCAUUGGCCAGAGGUCGAGCAGCAUUGCGGUUUCGAUUGGCGUUUCUGUGCGUCCAUCAGGGCGGGAAGGCGUUGGAAGAUUGGUUGGUUCUGGCAGUUGGUUGGGUCUCGUGCGGGCCUUUAAAACCCAAGGGGAAGUUUGUUCCUGUCGGAGUAGACUCUCUGUUCCAGUUGGAUCAGCUAAUAAGAUGCUGCCAGACCUGUUGAACUUUUCCAACAACUUCUCUUUUUGUUCCCAAUUUACAGCAUCCACUUUUUUUUUGGGUUUUCCCCUCGCAGUCUGGACUUGUCUAUAAUGACUAACCACUUUUGCGCUAUGCCAGGAUAAUCCUUCAGAACUCGGCUCCUUCGAGGAACGAGUUGGAGAGAUCGAUGAACAGUUAAAGAAAUGCAAAUUUUCAACAUAUAAAAGAUACCAUGCUGCAAGGGCUAUUUUUCUUCGAGUUUAAUUCCACGGGGAAUUUUUAAAACACAGAACACCUCCCAAAGCAUUUCGGUAAAUGCUAGCGCACCUGACUUUUGCAAAUCUUGCCUCGUACUUUCAUUCUGUUAACAAAAUAACUUUGUGCGCUUGACAAAUUAGAGAAAUAAAAUUGCAAUUGUUGGGGCUUGACUGUAAGAGAUGGUGCAAAACCAGUUUCAGCUGAGCAUAUGUGUAAGAGUAUGCAACAUUUUAAUCUUGGCCCUUAUCUGUGGGAAGGAGGCUGAGCUAGUUGUGACCUUUUCUACAGAAAGAAAGCAACGUGGGCAUGUUGUAGUGUAGCAGAGUAUCUGCAUUUGAGACUUUGAUCUGUAGUUCGUAAGGGGCAGCUUGAGCUAGCCCUGUGUAGGUUUAAAAGCUUUCUCUGACUUUGACACAAUAACCUCAGAGACGCUAUUCAAAGCAGCACAUGACCUCCUGUAAGUGAGGUGGAGUUAGACAAUAAAGCAACUGCCACAAUGCAGGAAGUGAGUACAAUUAUACAUUUCCCAACAAUAACACACAGCUUUUGUUUAAAGCUGUCUGGACUUCAGGGCCCUUUUUUUAAUCAAAUCUCCCCUGCCUCUUUCCCGCCCUUCUCUGCCGCCAGCAUAACUACUGAACCAUUUUUUGCAUAGCUGUACAUACACGUGUGCAUACAAUUCACUUCAUUGGGUAUAAAAGAUUUUUUUUACUUAAUUUGGAAUAAAUAAACCUCCCUUGUUUUGAUAUCAUUCACAAAUGAUCAAACCACUUCAUGUCUGGAUUUUUACUCUGCUUCUCUCCUUCUCUCCUUCCAGAUAAAUAAACUUUACCUCUUCACUACUGAUUCCUGGCUCCUGACUAGGAUUCAAUGUGUCCUUUAGUAUAACUAUAAAAUUACCAUUUUGUUAUUUCUGAGCCUCUUGGAUCAGAAUUGUUACAUUAUUGGAUCUGACUGUUAUGAUUGCAUUGAAUGUAUAGGGGCGCAAUGAUGCAAAUGUUCUGCCAUCUUGAAAGUUGCUGUGUGUCAUUCUUUUUGAAAAUAACUCAGCCAAUGGUUAUGUCCUAUUAAAUAAAUCAAGUCAUUCUUCAUGUAAAGCACGGCUUUAAAACAAAAAACUCACGUCUCUGAUUGCGUUGAGGGCAGUUGAAACUUCAGAAGGCCCAGGACAGG